GAUGAAGAACGUAGCGAAAUGCGAUAAGUAAUGUGAAUUGCAGAAUUCAGUGAAUCAUCGAAUCUUUGAACGCACAUUGCGCCCCUUGGUAUUCCGAGGGGCAUGCCUGUUCGAGCGUCAUUAUAACCCCUCAAGCUCGGCUUGGUGUUGGGGCCUGCCGCACGGGCAGCCCUUAAAAUCAGUGGCGGUGCCAUCUGGCUCUAAGCGUAGUAAUUCUUCUCGCUAUAGUGUGUAGUGAGCGCUUGCCAGAACCCCAAACUUUUAUAUGAUUGACCUCGGAUCAGGUAGGGAUACCCGCUGAACUUAAGCAUAUCAAUAAGCGGAGGA
rnacentral:misc_RNA from 1 species